CUUUCUCCGCCGGCGACCGGCGCACGGGUGAGUAACACGUAUGCAACCUGCCCCUGUCAGGGGGACAACCCGCCGAAAGGCGGGCUAAACCCGCGUACAUGCCACCGGGGCAUCCCGGAGGCAGGAAAGGCUUCGGCCGGACAGGGAUGGGCAUGCGGCGCAUUAGGCAGUAGGCGGGGUAACGGCCCACCUAACCGACGAUGCGUAGGGGUUCUGAGAGGAAGGUCCCCCACACUGGUACUGAGACACGGGCCAGACUCCUACGGGAGGCAGCAG
rnacentral:rRNA from 1 species